UCCUCCGCUUAUUGAUAUGCAAGUGACCCCGGUCUAACCACCGGGAUGUUCAUAACCCUUUGUUGUCCGACUCUGUUGCCUCCGGGGCGACCCUGCCUUCGGGCGGGGGCUCCGGGUGGACACUUCAAACUCUUGCGUAACUUUGCAGUCUGAGUAAACUUAAUUAAUAAAUUAAAACUUUUAACAACGGAUCUCUUGGUUCUGGCAUCGAUGAAGAACGCAGCGAAAUGCGAUAAGUAAUGUGAAUUGCAGAAUUCAGUGAAUCAUCGAAUCUUUGAACGCACAUUGCGCCCCCUGGUAUUCCGGGGGGCAUGCCUGUUCGAGCGUCAUUUCACCACUCAAGCCUCGCUUGGUAUUGGGCAACGCGGUCCGCCGCGUGCCUCAAAUCGACCGGCUGGGUCUUCUGUCCCCUAAGCGUUGUGGAAACUAUUCGCUAAAGGGUGUUCGGGAGGCUACGCCGUAAAACAACCCCAUUUCUAAGGUUGACCUCGGAUCAGGUAGGGAUACCCGCAGGUUCACCUACGGA
rnacentral:rRNA from 1 species